UACGAAGGGGGCUAGCGUUGCUCGGAAUCACUGGGCGUAAAGGGUGCGUAGGCGGGUCUUUAAGUCGGGGGGGAAAUCCUGGAGCUCAACUCCAGAACUGCCUUUGAUACUGAGGAUCUUGAGUUCGGGAGAGGUGAGUGGAACUGCGAGUGUAGAGGUGAAAUUCGUAGAUAUUCGCAAGAACACCAGUGGCGAAGGCGGCUCACUGGCCCGGUACUGACGCUGAGGAGCGAAAGCGUGGGGAGCGAACAGG
rnacentral:rRNA from 1 species